CUAACUCCGUGCCAGCAGCCGCGGUAAUACGGAGGGUGCGAGCGUUAAUCGGAAUUACUGGGCGUAAAGCGCAUGCAGGCGGCCUGUUAAGUCAGAUGUGUAAAGCCCCGGGGCUUAACCUCGGAAUUGCAUUUGAAACUGGCAGGCUAGAGUCUUGUAGAGGGGGUAGAAUUUCAGGUGUAGCGGUGAAAUGCGUAGAGAUCUGAAGGAAUACCAGUGGCGAAGGCGGCCCCCUGGACAAAGACUGACGCUCAGAUGCGAAAGCGUGGGGAGCAAACAGGAUUAGAUACCCCUGGUAG
rnacentral:rRNA from 1 species